AAUCAUUUGUUAGCCCUUGUUCUCUUAGAUUUGAUGUUUCGAGUAUUUUUCGAAAUAGAUUUGAUGUGUCUGGAGGAGAGACAGGGGCAGGUAAUGUGUGGCUGGAAUGUAUUUCACUUCAUGGAGUUCAUGAUCAAUUUGAGCAUAUUGUUUUUCAAGGAGAGACAGAGUGGGAUUCUCAUUUUCAAGGUACUACUUUGUGGAUGGAGUAUACUCCAUUAUUGCUUCAUGAUCAAUUAACGCCACCUAUUUUUGGAGUUACUGUUCACGGCAAAGGGUUGCGCAUCAAAAGCAUUGGGGCCCACCUGGCUCAUAUAAGUUUGUCAAAGGAUGGUGAUGAUGAUGGCAAACAUAUUGAUGAAAAUGAAUUAUAUGGUGAGGGUGAUGUAGGUGAUGAAGUUCGACCCAGAAAGAGAACAAAGAUAUGACCUCUCUCUGCAUUUCAUUGUGUUGAUGUUGAAAACUUACUUCGAGGCUGGACCAAAAGAUCAUUGAGUCAUUUUCCUCUAGGAAGAGAUUAUAACAUGCUAGAAAUAUAUUAAUGCGUAUUUCUAUUUUUGAAUGCCUCUUGGCGAGACACCUCAAGACGACUUCCUCUUGAUUAUUUUGAUGCCAUAAUAAUGGCCUUGUGUUGUAUUAUUAGUCCUAAUAUGAAACCCCGUGAUGUCUUUAUGUUUAUUGUUUUGCUAUCUUCU